UACGAAGGGACCUAGCGUAGUUCGGAAUUACUGGGCUUAAAGAGUUCGUAGGUGGUUAAAAAAGUUGAUGGUGAAAUCCCAAGGCUCAACCUUGGAACUGCCAUCAAAACUUUUUAGCUAGAGUGUGAUAGAGGAAAGUGGAAUUUCUAGUGUAGAGGUGAAAUUCGUAGAUAUUAGAAAGAACAUCAAAAGCGAAGGCAACUUUCUGGAUCAUUACUGACACUGAGGAACGAAAGCAUGGGUAGCGAAGAGGAUUAGAUACCCUCGUAGUCCAUGCCGUAAACGAUGUGUGCUAGACGUUGGAAACUUAGUUUUCAGUGUCGCAGCGAAAGCAUUAAGCACACCGCCUGGGGAGUACGACCGCAAGGUUAAAACUCAAAUGAAUUGACGGGGACCCGCACAAGUAGUGGAGCAUGUGGUUUAAUUCGAAGAUACGCGCAGAACCUUACCAACACUUGACAUGUUCGUCGCGACUCUGAGAGAUCAGAGUUUUCGGUUCGGCCGGACGAAACACAGGUGCUGCAUGGCUGUCGUCAGCUCGUGUCGUGAGAUGUUGGGUUAAGUCCCCGCAACGAGCGCAACCCCUACCUUUAGUUGCCACCAUUAAGUUGGGCACUUUAAAGGAACUGCCAGUGAUAAGCUGGAGGAAGGUGGGGAUGACGUCAAGUCCUCAUGGCCCUUACGUGUUGGGCUACACACGUGCUACAAUGGCACUUACAGUGGGAAGCUAAGACGCGAGUCCAAGCUAAUCCCUAAAAUGUGCCUCAGUUCGGAUUGCACUCUGUAACUCGAGUGCAUGAAGCUGGAAUUACUAGUAAUCGCGGAUCAGCGCGCCGCGGUGAAUACGUUUCCGGGUCU
rnacentral:rRNA from 1 species